UACGUAGGGUGCAAGCGUUGUCCGGAAUUAUUGGGCGUAAAGAGCUCGUAGGCGGCUUGUCGCGUCGGCUGUGAAAACCUGGGGCUCAACCCCGGGCCUGCAGCCGAUACGGGCAAGCUAGAAUUCGGUAGGGGAGACUGGAAUUCAUGGUGUAGCAGUGAAAUGCGUAGAGAUCAUGAGGAAGACCAGUGGCGAAGGCGGGUCUCUGGACAGUUCCUGACACUGAGGCACGAAGGCCAGGGGAGCAAACGGG
rnacentral:rRNA from 1 species